UCCUGCAUCCGAAAGUGAUUGUGGGCUGCCUGUGCCCUGGCCACUGACAGUACUGAGAGAGAAUGGCUAUAAGUAGUUUUUCCCGAGUUUGAAGGGUCCAGCUGUCCCUUCUUAACCCUGGUACUUUCACAUA